GAGAUGGGGAUAACCUUCCGAAAGGAGGGCUAAUACCGAAUGAGACCACAGUUACUCUGUAACAGCGGUCAAAGGUGGCCUCUACUUGUAAGCUAUCGCUUGGAGAUGAGCUUAUGCACCAUCAGCUAGUUGGUAGGGUAAUGGCCUACCAAGGCUUUGACGGUUAGCUGAUCUGAGAGGUUGAUCAGCCACACUGGAACUGAGACACGGUCCAG
rnacentral:rRNA from 1 species